AGAGCGAACGCUGGCGGCAGGCCUAACACAUGCAAGUCGAGCGCCCGUAGCAAUACGGGAGCGGCAGACGGGAUAGUAACACGUGGGAACGCGCCCUUCGGUUCGGAAUAACUCAGGGAAACUUGAGCUAAUACCGGAUACGCCCUUACGGGGAAAGAUUUAUUGCCGAAGGAACGGCCCGCGUCCGAUUAGCUAGUUGGUGAGGUAAUGGCUCACCAAGGCGACGAUCGGUAGCUGGUCUGAGAGGAUGACCAGCAUCACUGGGACUGAGACACGGCCCAGACUCCUACGGGAGGCAGCAGUGGGGAAUAUUGGACAAUGGGCGCAAGCCUGAUCCAGCCAUGCCGCGUGGAUGAUGAAGGCCUUAGGGUUGUAAAGUCCGUUUUAACGGGGAAGUAUAAUGACGGUACCGUAGAAUAAGCCCGGCUAACUUCGUGCCAGCAGCCGC
rnacentral:rRNA from 1 species